AGAUUGAACGCUGGCGGCAUGCCUUACACAUGCAAGUCGAACGGCAGCAUGACGUGUAGCAAUACACGUUGAUGGCGAGUGGCGAACGGGUGAGUAAUAUAUCGGAACGUGUCCCGUAGCGGGGGAUAACCUAUCGAAAGAUGGACUAAUACCGCAUACGCUCUACGGAGGAAAGCGGGGGUCGCAAGACCUCGCACUAUGGGAGCGGCCGAUAUCGGAUUAGCUAGUUGGCGGGUAAAGCCCACCAAGGCGACGAUCCGUAGCUGGUCUGAGAGGAUGAUCAGCCACACUGGAACUGAGACACGGUCCAGACUCCUACGGGAGGCAGCAGUGGGGUAAUUUUGGACAAGUGGGCGCGAAGCCUGAUCCAGCCAUGCCGCGUGAGUGAAGACGGCCGUUGGUUGUAAGUCUCGUUCGCGAGGAACGUAAGUGGUUCGUAGUUAAU
rnacentral:rRNA from 1 species